rnacentral:rRNA from 1 species
AGUGAACGUUAGCGGCGGGCCUAACACAUGCAAGUCGAACGCGAAAGGUCUUCGGACUGAGUAGAGUGGCGCACGGGUGAGUAACACGUAGGUAAUCUACCCUUUGGCGGGGGAUAACGUUCCGAAAGGAGCGCUAAUACCGCAUAAGACCACGGAGUCUCCGGACGCUGUGGGAAAAGGUGGCCUCUUCUUGAAAGCUACCACCGAAGGAUGAGCCUGCGUCCCAUCAGCUAGUUGGUAAGGUAAUGGCUUACCAAGGCGAAGACGGGUAGCUGGUUUGAGAGAAUGAUCAGCCACACUGGCACUGGAACACGGGCCAGACUCCUACGGGAGGCAGCAGUGAGGAAUAUUGGGCAAUGGGCGAAAGCCUGACCCAGCCACGCCGCGUGAGUGAUGAAGGCCCCGUCGGGUACGU